rnacentral:rRNA from 1 species
UACGGAGGGUGCGAGCGUUGUCCGGAAUCACUGGGCGUAAAGGGCGCGUAGGCGGCUCGGUAAGUAGGGGGUGAAAUUCUGCGGCUUAACCGCAGGGCUGCCUUCUAAACUGUCGAGCUCGAGCACGGUAGAGGCAGAUGGAAUUCCCGGUGUAGCGGUGGAAUGCGUAGAGAUCGGGAAGAACAUCAGUGGCGAAGGCGGUCUGCUGGGCCGUUGCUGACGCUGAGGCGCGACAGCGUGGGGAGCAAACAGG